AGAAGGGCCAACCACGGAUUCGAUUCGGGCUCAAGCGGCAGAGGAGGAUGGUGCGCAUGCGGUGCCCCUACUGCAGCGGCACGGCGCGGCGGUGCGCCACCACCCCCUCCGGCCGCUGCGUCACCGAGUGCUGCUCCUGCGGCCGCGUGGUGGAGGAGCGCCAGCUCCACACCCACCACCUCUUUUCGCUGCGCGCCUUCGACAAUCCCCUCCCCCUCGUCACUCCCGACCUCCUCCACCUCCCCUUUCCCCCACCUCCCCCCUCCCCCUCCCCCUGUGCCGCCACCGCCGACGACGAGGAGGACCCCUUCCACCCCACCGGCUUCAUCACCGCCUUCUCCACCUGGUCCCUGGAGCCUUCCCCCCUUUUCGUCCGCUCCGCCUCCUCCUUUGCCGGCCACCUCGCGGAGCUCGAGCGCACCCUCGAUUCCUCCUCCUCCUCCUCUUCUUCCUCUGGCUCUGAUGCCUCCGGCGGGCCUCUCGUCUCCAUGGACCACCUUCGGGCUUACCUCCAGAUCUUGGAGGUCUCAUCCAUCCUGGGGCUGGACCACGACAUUGCCGACCACGCCUUCCAGCUAUUCCGGGACUGCUCCUCCACCACCUGCCUCCGCAACCGCAGCAUCGAGGCCCUGGCGACGGCUGCGCUUGUACAGGCCAUCCGUGAGGCCCAGGAGCCACGAACCCUCCAGGAAAUAUCUACAGCAAGCAACCUUCCUCAAAAAGAAAUUGGCAAGUACAUCAAGAUUCUUGGGGAAGCUCUGAAACUUAGCCAGCCCAUUAAUAGCAAUUCAAUUGCAGUUCACAUGCCUAGGUUUUGCACGCUACUCCAACUUAAUAAAUCAGCUCAGGAACUCGCAGCUCAUAUUGGAGAAGUUGUCGUGAAUAAAUGCUUUUGUACUCGUCGGAACCCAAUUAGCAUCUCAGCUGCUGCCAUCUACCUAGCAUGUCAACUGGAAGAUAAACGUAAAACCCAGGCUGAAAUUUGUAAAGUGACUGGUUUAACAGAGGUCACUCUUCGUAAAGUGUACAAAGAGCUUUUGGAGAAUUGGGAUGAUUUGCUCCCACCUAACUAUACUCCUGCAGUGCCUCCAGAGAAGGCUUUUCCAAUGACUACAAUCACCUCGGGUCGUUCUUCAACUUCCAAAGUGGAUGUGGUUGAUCUUUACCAUUUGAAUGCAAAUCAUGACAAAGACAAGCACCCAGAAACUGUUAAACCAAGUAAAGCUUUUGAUUCUAUGGAGUGUAGUCAUACAGUCACAAUGAAGGAGACAGAGAAAAAAAGCAAUUCUCAUGUCCGUUCUCGUACAUCAUUUGAUUCCCGGGACUUGAAUCAGGGAGCGUUCUGCCAACCACAGCAGGUUCCUUUUGGAAUGUUUUCCUGUAAGCUAGAGACAGAGAAGGAUCGGAAGGAUGAUCAAGGCAUCAUCAAUCUUAAUGAAACUGAGUCCAGCCUAUUGGAGUAUGAAGGCAGCAAGGACUUGAAAAUUUGUGAUUCUGCUCCACAAAUGGCUCAAACAUCAGUUCCCUCAUCCUCAAAAAGGUACACAAGUCCAUGGCAUUUGAAUGCACCACCAGCUGUUUCAGGGUAUUAUUCUCGGUUUGAAAAGCAACAUAUAGGCGUUGACUUUGCAUCUGGAUCUAGAGAGAUUGGGAAAAGUGGGAGCAAUGAUGCUGAUGGCCACUACCACAAGGAAGAGAAUUAGUAGAGAACCAAAUGAAUGUAUGCAGUGUUGACUUGUUUUUUGUCAUCAUAUGUGGGAUAAAUGAGUGUCAGGCCUUAGGAUGUUCGUCAUCCUGUUAUAUGAGCAUGCUAUAAGAGGAUGUGACACAACUGUAACCCGAUUCUUUAUGUUGAGGCUUGUGCUAUAUGAGACUGGAGCAGUCUAUCAAUCAUCACAUCAGCCUGGUCUAGGAAAAUAACCUGCGAUUCUCUGCCCCUAAUGGGAUUCCCCUCCCUUGCUCCCGCUCCAUCUAAAUAGGAAAUGGAUGGGGAUGGAGGAUGAGAUAGAGAUGAAGACGAGGAAGCACUUCCUGCCCCGUUGACAUCCCUAUCUAUGAGUUGAAUGUAAGAUUCAUAUCAAAGAAUUUUAAUGAAUCGUAGUUUUCUGCGUCUUCUUUUUGGCUUUCAUCUAUUGUCGACAUUGCAGACUACAGCUUAGCUUAAAAAUAAAAAAUCAUCGAUAACAAAAAAAUUUGAUUCCACCGAACUCGAAGAUUACAGUGACUAUUCUGUUUUCUUCUUCGAGCUCAUGUCAUGAUCUUGACAAGAUAUCUAUUGAGCUCAUAGCAACCAUUAACAUUUUAUUGUUUUUAAUUUAUAGCUACAUAGAUAUGCUGAUAUUAUCUUUGACUUAUAGAUUUAGCUGCAUAAAUGUGACAUGAUACAAUAUAUUGGACGAACAAAUCUAACAUAAUUAACAAAUGUGUUUGAUCUUAUCCCAAGUGAUUCUUUCCGCUGAUCCUUUGUUUCAAUGUUCAGACUUAUCCCAUUGUGUUUUCCAUUUAGCUAGGCAGGCAUUAAAUGAAAGGAAAUUUGGGGGAAAUCAAGUCCUUGCAGUUUCUUAUCCAGAGAACAAGUUUGCUCAGGGAGACUUGGAUGGCUAGUUGCUUCCAAUUUUGCUCCACCAGUUGUUUCCACGUUUACUGUAUCACAGUUCAGUUAGGAGUAAUACUCUUCACCAUGUUUGGACAUCUUAGCAUACAUUGAUUAGAUUCAUGUGCUAACCAGUCUAGUGUGACAAUUUGGCACUCACCUUUUCUUUUUGACAGGCAUCUGGUUAAGAGAAACUCAUUUCAAUGGGACUAUAAUCAGUAGAUGUAAACACAAUUCCAAUAGUUCUUUUUUUUUUUUUUCUUUCUUUUGCAAGAUUGGCAAUCUUACAACUUCAUAGUUCUCUUUCUUUUUGCAA